UACGAAGGGGGCUAGCGUUGCUCGGAAUCACUGGGCGUAAAGGGUGCGUAGGCGGGUUUUUAAGUCAGGGGUGAAAUCCUGGAGCUCAACUCCAGAACUGCCUUUGAUACUGAAGAUCUUGAGUCCGGGAGAGGUGAGUGGAACUGCGAGUGUAGAGGUGAAAUUCGUAGAUAUUCGGAAGAACACCAGUGGCGAAGGCGACUUACUGGACACAUACUGACGCUGAGGUGCGAAAGCGUGGGGAGCAAACAGG
rnacentral:rRNA from 1 species